GUUUCGGGGUGUAAACCGCUGUUCGUGGGGAAGAAGCACUGACGGUACCCACGGAGGAAGGCCCGGCUAACUACGUGCCAGCAGCCGCGGUAAUACGUAGGGGUCGAGCGUUGUCCGGAGUUACUGGGCGUAAAGCGUUCCCUUUUCUAUUCACGCGCCCGGCGUGAAAGCCCCCGGCUCAACCGGGGAGGGUCGUCGG
rnacentral:rRNA from 1 species